UACGUAGGGUGCAAGCGUUUAAUCGGAAUUACUGGGCGUAAAGCGUGCGCAGGCGGUUGUGCAAGACAGAUGUGAAAUCCCCGGGCUCAACCUGGGAACUGCAUUUGUGACUGUACGGCUGGAGUGCGGCAGAGGGGGAUGGAAUUCCGCGUGUAGCAGUGAAAUGCGUAGAUAUGCGGAGGAACACCGAUGGCGAAGGCAAUCCCCUGGGCCUGCACUGACGCUCAUGCACGAAAGCGUGGGGAGCAAACAGG
rnacentral:rRNA from 1 species